UACAGAGGUCUCAAGCGUUGUUCGGAUUCAUUGGGCGUAAAGGGUGCGUAGGCGGCGCGGUAAGUCGGGUGUGAAAGCCCCGGGCUUAACUUGGGAAUUGCGCUCGAAACUACGUGGCUGGAGUAUGGCAGAGGAAGGUGGAAUUCCACGUGUAGCGGUGAAAUGCGUAGAGAUGUGGAGGAACACCGAUGGCGAAGGCAGCCUUCUGGGCCAAUACUGACGCUCAUGCACGAAAGCGUGGGGAGCAAACAGG
rnacentral:rRNA from 1 species